UGCUCAUCCAGAGGGACUGAGGGAACGGCCCUGAGAAGUCCCGGCAACCGCCGCGAAUCCCCGUACGCACCAGUGCUUGAAGGUGCGUACGUCGCGGAAACGGUGCCAAAUCCGACCGUCGCGAGAGUCGCGCGGGCAGAUGAGAA
rnacentral:ncRNA from 2 species